GACGAACGCUGGCGGCGUGCUUAACACAUCCAAGUCGAACGGUAAGGCCCCUUCGGGGGUACACGAGUGGCGAACGGGUGAGUAACACGUGAGCAACCUGCCCUUGACUCUGGAAUAACAGUUGGAAACAGCUGCUAAUACUGGAUAUUCAUCGUCUCCUUCCUGGGGGGUGGUGGAAAGCUCCGGCGGUCAGGGAUGGGCUCGCGGCCUAUCAGCUUGUUGGUGAGGUAAUGGCUCACCAAGGCUUCGACGGGUAGCCGGCCUGAGAGGGCGACCGGCCACACUGGGACUGAGAUACGGCCCAGACUCCUACGGGAGGCAGCAGUGGGGAAUAUUGCACAAUGGGCGCAAGCCUGAUGCAGCAACGCCGCGUGCGGGAUGACGGCCUUCGGGUUGUAAACCGCUUUCAGUAGGGACGAAGGGUGACUGACGGUACCUACAGAAGAAGGACCGGCUAACUACGU
rnacentral:rRNA from 1 species